CAAAUCGGGUGAGACUACCCGCUGAACUUAAGCAUAUCAAUAAGCGGAGGAAAAGAAACUAACAAGGAUUCCCCUAGUAACUGCNAGUGAAGCGGGAAAAGCUCAAAUUUAAAAUCUGGUGGUCUUUGGCCAUCCNAGUUGUAAUUUA
rnacentral:rRNA from 1 species